rnacentral:lncRNA from 1 species
GAACUUGAACUUCAUGUACUAGUUCCCUGCGUUCAAGAAAUGUGUUUCUCUCUCAACAGGUUCUUUGCUCUGGAGUAAUAAGUACAGGGCUGUGAGCAGGGACACACUCAUGUAGGUCUGAGGAAUCACUGCAGUCUGGGUGCAUGAAGAUGGCCUCUACCCAGACUGAAGGCAGAGCAAGAUGCACAGCCCUGACCCAGCAACAUGUACAGCCCAACCAAAGGCUCACACUUCCAAAGCUCAGGUGACAGACGAAGCAGCCCAUCCAUGCACUUCCAGCCGGAGGGGCAAGGAAGAGGAUUCAGAAGGGCAGAAGGCUGGGGCGAUGCACCUUUGUGUCCCUGACACUGGCCAGCAAGGGGUGAAGUCUCCCUUUGACCACAGGUGGGUACAUCAGCCCUUGAUCAGCAGCAGCUGUGCCGUGGGUGCCACUGAAGGUGUGAGUGUGCUGGCCAAAGGCGUUCUGCAGCCUCCACUGCACCUUUGUGGGGAGAGCUCUGCCAAGGCUGCGUCCAGCUGGGAGGGCAGGAGAGACAACAGCAUGGAAGUGGCAAUCAGGACAUUACUUCUGCAAGGUGCUCAGACAUUUAUCUGGACUCAAGCAUUUAACAAUGUGCAAAGAGUGGACCCAUUACUGACGUGCCCCUGAGAGUUGGGUCUGCCUUUCCAAUCCUGUUUCUUCUUGGGUGAAAGUGGGAG